rnacentral:tRNA from 1 species
GCUUUAAUAGUUGAAUAACAACAACGGCGGUUUUUCGGAUCGCAGGUUUUGGAUUAUAGGCCGAAUUGAAGUA